UACGUAGGGUGCAAGCGUUUGUCCGGAAUUAUUGGGCGUAAAGAGCUCGUAGGCGGUCUGUCACGUCGGAUGUGAAACUCGGGGCUCCAACCCGAGCCUGCAUACGAUACGGGCAGACUUGAGUUCGGCAGGGGAGACUGGGAAUUCCUGGUGUGCGGUGAAAUGCGCAGAUAUCAGGAGGAACACCGGUGGCGAAGGCGGGUCUCUGGGCCGAUACUGACGCUGAGGAGCGAAAGCGUGGGGAGCGAACAGGG
rnacentral:rRNA from 1 species